rnacentral:rRNA from 1 species
GGGUUGUGAGGUUAAGCGACUAAGCGUACACGGUGGAUGCCCUGGCAGUCAGAGGCGAUGAAGGACGUGCUAAUCUGCGAUAAGCGUCGGUAAGGUGAUAUGAACCGUUAUAACCGGCGAUUUCCGAAUGGGGAAACCCAGUGUGUUUCGUCACACUAUCAUUAACUGAAUCCAUAGGUUAAUGAGGCGAACCGGGGGAACUGAAACAUCUAAGUACCCCGAGGAAAAGAAAUCAACCGAGAUUCCCCCAGUAGCGGCGAGCGAACGGGGAGGAGCCCAGAGCCUGAAUCAGUGUGUGUGUUAGUGGAAGCGUCUGGAAAGGCGCGCGAUACAGGGUGACAGCCCCGUACACAAAAAUGCACAUGCUGUGAGCUCGAUGAGUAGGGCGGGACACGUGGUAUCCUGUCUGAAUAUGGGGGGACCAUCCUCCAAGGCUAAAUACUCCUGACUGACCGAUAGUGAACCAGUACCGUGAGGGAAAGGCGAAAAGAACCCCGGCGAGGGGAGUGAAAAAGAACCUGAAACCGUGUACGUACAAGCAGUGGGAGCACAGAGCAAUCUGUGUGACUGCGUACCUUUUGUAUAAUGGGUCAGCGACUUAUAUUCUGUAGCAAGGUUAACCGAAUAGGGGAGCCGAAGGGAAACCGAGUCUUAACUGGGCGUUAAGUUGCAGGGUAUAGACCCGAAACCCGGUGAUCUAGCCAUGGGCAGGUUGAAGGUUGGGUAACACUAACUGGAGGACCGAACCGACUAAUGUUGAAAAAUUAGCGGAUGACUUGUGGCUGGGGGUGAAAGGCCAAUCAAACCGGGAGAUAGCUGGUUCUCCCCGAAAGCUAUUUAGGUAGCGCCUCGUGAAUUCAUCUCCGGGGGUAGAGCACUGUUUCGGCAAGGGGGUCAUCCCGACUUACCAACCCGAUGCAAACUGCGAAUACCGGAGAAUGUUAUCACGGGAGACACACGGCGGGUGCUAACGUCCGUCGUGAAGAGGGAAACAACCCAGACCGCCAGCUAAGGUCCCAAAGUCAUGGUUAAGUGGGAAACGAUGUGGGAAGGCCCAGACAGCCAGGAUGUUGGCUUAGAAGCAGCCAUCAUUUAAAGAAAGCGUAAUAGCUCACUGGUCGAGUCGGCCUGCGCGGAAGAUGUAACGGGGCUAAACCAUGCACCGAAGCUGCGGCAGCGACACUGUGUGUUGUUGGGUAGGGGAGCGUUCUGUAAGCCUGUGAAGGUGUGCUGUGAGGCAUGCUGGAGGUAUCAGAAGUGCGAAUGCUGACAUAAGUAACGAUAAAGCGGGUGAAAAGCCCGCUCGCCGGAAGACCAAGGGUUCCUGUCCAACGUUAAUCGGGGCAGGGUGAGUCGACCCCUAAGGCGAGGCCGAAAGGCGUAGUCGAUGGGAAACAGGUUAAUAUUCCUGUACUUGGUGUUACUGCGAAGGGGGGACGGAGAAGGCUAUGUUGGCCGGGCGACGGUUGUCCCGGUUUAAGCGUGUAGGCUGGUUUUCCAGGCAAAUCCGGAAAAUCAAGGCUGAGGCGUGAUGACGAGGCACUACGGUGCUGAAGCAACAAAUGCCCUGCUUCCAGGAAAAGCCUCUAAGCAUCAGGUAACAUCAAAUCGUACCCCAAACCGACACAGGUGGUCAGGUAGAGAAUACCAAGGCGCUUGAGAGAACUCGGGUGAAGGAACUAGGCAAAAUGGUGCCGUAACUUCGGGAGAAGGCACGCUGAUAUGUAGGUGAAGUCCCUCGCGGAUGGAGCUGAAAUCAGUCGAAGAUACCAGCUGGCUGCAACUGUUUAUUAAAAACACAGCACUGUGCAAACACGAAAGUGGACGUAUACGGUGUGACGCCUGCCCGGUGCCGGAAGGUUAAUUGAUGGGGUCAGCGCAAGCGAAGCUCUUGAUCGAAGCCCCGGUAAACGGCGGCCGUAACUAUAACGGUCCUAAGGUAGCGAAAUUCCUUGUCGGGUAAGUUCCGACCUGCACGAAUGGCGUAAUGAUGGCCAGGCUGUCUCCACCCGAGACUCAGUGAAAUUGAACUCGCUGUGAAGAUGCAGUGUACCCGCGGCAAGACGGAAAGACCCCGUGAACCUUUACUAUAGCUUGACACUGAACAUUGAGCCUUGAUGUGUAGGAUAGGUGGGAGGCUUUGAAGUGUGGACGCCAGUCUGCAUGGAGCCGACCUUGAAAUACCACCCUUUAAUGUUUGAUGUUCUAACGUGGACCCGUGAUCCGGGUUGCGGACAGUGUCUGGUGGGUAGUUUGACUGGGGCGGUCUCCUCCUAAAGAGUAACGGAGGAGCACGAAGGUUGGCUAAUCCUGGUCGGACAUCAGGAGGUUAGUGCAAUGGCAUAAGCCAGCUUGACUGCGAGCGUGACGGCGCGAGCAGGUGCGAAAGCAGGUCAUAGUGAUCCGGUGGUUCUGAAUGGAAGGGCCAUCGCUCAACGGAUAAAAGGUACUCCGGGGAUAACAGGCUGAUACCGCCCAAGAGUUCAUAUCGACGGCGGUGUUUGGCACCUCGAUGUCGGCUCAUCACAUCCUGGGGCUGAAGUAGGUCCCAAGGGUAUGGCUGUUCGCCAUUUAAAGUGGUACGCGAGCUGGGUUUAGAACGUCGUGAGACAGUUCGGUCCCUAUCUGCCGUGGGCGCUGGAGAACUGAGGGGGGCUGCUCCUAGUACGAGAGGACCGGAGUGGACGCAUCACUGGUGUUCGGGUUGUCAUGCCAAUGGCACUGCCCGGUAGCUAAAUGCGGAAGAGAUAAGUGCUGAAAGCAUCUAAGCACGAAACUUGCCCCGAGAUGAGUUCUCCCUGACCCUUUAAGGGUCCUGAAGGAACGUUGAAGACGACGACGUUGAUAGGCCGGGUGUGUAAGCGCAGCGAUGCGUUGAGCUAACCGGUACUAAUGAACCGUGAGGCUUAACCUUACAACGCCGAAGGUGUUU